rnacentral:ncRNA from 1 species
CCUCCAUAAACUGCACUGACUGAUCAACGGUGGCUCAACGGUUUAUGGCGGACAAGUCAAUACUGUAGCUGCCUUUUGAGCGGGUUUGCUGCAAUCCGAAACGGAGGUUUCCGUUAGGACUGCGGUUGGUUUCUUAUACCCUUUUUCGGCAGCACC